rnacentral:rRNA from 1 species
AUUGAACUCUGGCGGCAGGCUUAACACAUGCAAGUCGAGCGCGAAAGUCCUUCGGGAUGAGUAGAGCGGCGAACGGGUGAGUAACGCGUAGGAAUCUACCUGGUAGUGGGGGAUAACUUGGGGAAACUCAAGCUAAUACCGCAUACGACCUAAGGGUGAAAGCGGGGGAUCGCAAGACCUCGCGCUAUCAGAUGAGCCUGCGUAAGAUUAGCUAGUUGGUAGGGUAAAGGCCUACCAAGGCGACGAUCUUUAGCUGUUCUGAGAGGAUGAUCAGCCACACUGGGACUGAGACACGGCCCAGACUCCUACGGGAGGCAGCAGUGGGGAAUAUUGGACAAUGGGGGCAACCCUGAUCCAGCCAUGCCGCGUGUGUGAAGAAGGCCUUCGGGUUGUAAAGCACUUUCAGUGGGGAGGAAAGGUUGCAGAUUAAUACUCUGUAGCUGUGACGUUACCCACAGAAGAAGCACCGGCUAACUCCGUGCCAGCAGCCGCCGUAAUAC